CAGAGGCUGCUGCGUGUUACUGGUGCGGCUAGCUGCGCGGCGGUUCUGCAUUGUUCCAGUCACUUUGUUACCUGGGAGGUAAUUGGCUGUUAGCAGCAUGGCUAAGCGGUUUUGUUGUGGUCAUACAAUAGGCUAAUUCCGCACGUAUGCGUUAUUAGUGUUUCGCAACGGAAAAAAGGGUCAAAAACAAACUUUGUUGCGACAGACUGUCUACCCUCAGUCAGCGUUAUUUUGUUACCCGAUGUCCAUCUGUAUCCGGUUUAUUACUGAACCAGUACUGUAUCUGUGAUUUGGUGUGGCGGACGGCUGUAUUUCUCCGGAGCUGUAGGCCAAAAGGCAGAGAGGCCUGACUUUCCCUCUCUUUGAGUGUGUUUCUGUGCACCGUGUGCUGUGACCACCGACAGAAAUUUCACUGAGCACUGAGUGUGUUGUGAUUGAGCACAUGCAUGGUGUGGAUAUUUGAACCUACUUCUUUCAGCCUGUCUUGUGCCGAUCAGCUGCA